rfam:Oryza sativa (indica cultivar-group) chromosome 6, whole genome shotgun sequence.
AAAAAGGCAAACCCUGAGUUUCCGUGUCCAACUUUAACUGUCCGUCUUAUAUGAAAUUUUUUUAUAAUUCAUAUUUUCAUUGUUGUUAGAUGAUAAAACAUGAUUAAUAUUUUAUGCGUGACUUGUCUUUUUAAUUUUUUUCAUAAUUUUUUUAAAUAAGACGGACGGUCAAAUGUUGGGCACGGAAAACAGGGUUUAUCUUUUU